rnacentral:rRNA from 1 species
AUUGAACGCUGGCGGCAGGCCUAACACAUGCAAGUCGAGCGGAGCGGCGGGCGGGUGGGUAAUGCCUAGGAAUCUGCCUGGCUGUGGGAGAUAGCGUCCGGCAACGGGCGCUAGUACCUAACACUAUCAGAUGAGCCUGGUUCGGAUUGGCUAGUUGGUGGGGUAAGGGCCUACCAAGGCGACGAUCCGUAACUGGUCUGAGAGGAUGAUCAGUCACACUGGAACUGAGACACGGUCCAGACUCCUACGGGAGGCAGCAGUGGGGAAUAUUGGACAAUGGGCGAAAGCCUGAUGCAGCCAUGCCGCGUGUGUGAAGAAGGUCUUCGGAUUGUAAAGCACUUUCAGCUGGGAGGCGUUACCAACAGAAUAAGCACCGGCUAACUUCGUGCCAGCAGCCGCGGUAAUUC